UACGAAGGGGGCUAGCGUUGCUCGGAAUCACUGGGCGUAAAGGGUGCGUAGGCGGGUCUUUUAAGUCAGGGGUGAAAUCCUGGAGCUCAACUCCAGAACUGCCUUUGAUACUGAAGAUCUUGAGUUCGGGAGAGGUGAGUGGAACUGCGAGUGUAGAGGUGAAAUUCGUAGAUAUUCGCAAGAACACCAGUGGCGAAGGCGGCUCACUGGACCGGUAUUGACGCUGAGGUGCGAAAGCGUGGGGAGCAAACAGG
rnacentral:rRNA from 1 species